rnacentral:rRNA from 1 species
GUGGGGAAUAUUGGACAAUGGGCGAAAGCCUGAUCCAGCCAUGCCGCGUGUGUGAAGAAGGUCUUCGGAUUGUAAAGCACUUUAAGUUGGGAGGAAGGGCAGUAAGUUAAUACCUUGCUGUUUUGAUGUUACCGACAGAAUAAGCACCGGCUAACUUCGUGCCAGCAGCCGCGGUAAUACGAAGGGUGCAAGCGUUAAUCGGAAUUACUGGGCGUAAAGCGCGCGUAGGUGGUUUUGUAAGUUGGAGGUGAAAUCCCCGGGCUCAACCUGGGAACUGCCUCCAAAACUGCAUGACUAGAGUACGGUAGAGGGUAGUGGAAUUUCCUGUGUAGCGGUGAAAUGCGUAGAUAUAGGAAGGAACACCAGUGGCGAAGGCGACUACCUGGACUGAUACUGACACUGAGGUGCGAAAGCGUGGGGAGCAAACAGGAUUAGAAACCCCAGUAGUCC